rnacentral:miRNA from 1 species
UCUGGGACAGAGGGAGUAUA